rnacentral:rRNA from 1 species
GUCCACGCAGUAAACGAUGAAUACUAGCUGUUGGCGAUAUACAGUCAGCGGUACAGCGAAAGUGUUAAGUAUUCCACCUGGGGAGUACGCCGGCAACGGUGAAACUCAAAGGAAUUGACGGGGGCCCGCACAAGCGGAGGAACAUGUGGUUUAAUUCGAUGAUACGCGAGGAACCUUACCCGGGCUUGAAAGUUAGUGAAUAACCCCUGAAAGGGGUUAGUCCUUCGGGACACGAAACUAGGUGCUGCAUGGUUGUCGU